AACGAACGCUGGCGGCGCGCCUAAUACAUGCAAGUCGAGCGAGAAGACGUAGCAAUACGUUUGUAAAGCGGCGAACGGGUGAGGAAUACAUGGGUAACCUACCCUCGAGUGGGGAAUAACUAGCCGAAAGGUUAGCUAAUACCGCGUACGCUCCUUGGACUUCGGUUCAGGGAGGAAAGCGAUACCGUGGGUAUCGCGCUCUUGGAUGGGCUCAUGUCCUAUCAGCUUGUUGGGAGGUAACGGCUCACCAAGGCUUCGACGGGUAGCUGGUCUGAGAGGACGAUCAGCCACACUGGCACUGCGACACGGGCCAGACUCCUACGGGAGGCAGCAGUAAGGAAUAUUGCGCAAUGGGCGAAAGCCUGACGCAGCGACGCCGCGUGGGGGAU
rnacentral:rRNA from 1 species